rnacentral:rRNA from 1 species
UUAGAGUUCCUUUCUGGCUCAGGAUGAACGCUAGCGGCAGGCUUAACACAUGCAAGUCGAGGGGCAGCGAGAUCAGUGCUUGCACUGAUUGUCGGCGACCGGCGCACGGGUGCGUAACGCGUAUGCAACCUACCCAUUACAGGGGGAUAACACUGAGAAAUCGGUACUAAUACCCCAUAACAUCCAGGGAGGCAUCUUCUUGGGUUGAAAACUCCGGUGGUAAUGGAUGGGCAUGCGUUGUAUUAGUUAGUUGGUGGGGUAACGGCUCACCAAGACAACGAUACAUAGGGGGACUGAGAGGUUAACCCCCCACAUUGGUACUGAGACACGGACCAAACUCCUACGGGAGGCAGCAGUGAGGAAUAUUGGUCAAUGGACGCAAGUCUGAACCAGCCAUGCCGCGUGCAGGAAGACGGCUCUAUGAGUUGUAAACUGCUUUUGUACGAGGGUAAACGCAGAUACGCGUAUCUGUCUGAAAGUAUCGUACGAAUAAGGAUCGGCUAACUCCGUGCCAGCAGCCGCGGUAAUACGGAGGAUUCAAGCGUUAUCCGGAUUUAUUGGGUUUAAAGGGUGCGUAGGCGGUCGGAUAAGUUAGAGGUGAAAUCCCGGGGCUCAACUUCGGAAUUGCCUCUGAUACUGUUCGGCUAGAGAGUAGUUGCGGUAGGCGGAAUGUAUGGUGUAGCGGUGAAAUGCUUAGAGAUCAUACAGAACACCGAUUGCGAAGGCAGCUUACCAAGCUACUUCUGACGUUGAGGCACGAAAGCGUGGGGAGCAAACAGGAUUAGAUACCCUGGUAGUCCACGCAGU